UAGGACAGAAGAAUUCCUCCAGGAAUUCCACCCACUUGCUGGCCCUGGUGACUUAGCUGGGAGGGGGCCUGAGGUGGAGCCCCUCCCGUAUCCACAGGCGGAGAGGAUCUAGGGGCCCAUGAGGGUGGGGGAAAGGCAAAGUGAAGGUUGUUUGAGGUCAGUGACUGCCAGCUGGGCCCCGCCCCCUCUGGCCUCAGUUUCCCCUUGCAAGACCGACCUAGUUGGCCAGGGAGGGGCAGGCCCCCGUCUGACCCGCCUCUGUCCCCACAGCCCCCAGCGGCGCCCGGGCCGGGCCGGGCUGGCGGAGGAGGCUUCCGGAAAUACAGAUUCAUUUUAUUUAAGCGUCCGUGGCACCGACAGGGACCCCAGAGCCCAGAGAGGGGCGGCGAGAGGCCCCAGGUCAGUGACUUCCUGUCGGGCCGUUCGCCACUGACACUGGCCUUGCGUGUGGGCGACCACAUGAUGUUCGUGCAGCUGCAGCUCGCGGCCCAGCACGCUCCACUGCAACACCGCCAUGUGCUGGCCGCCGCGGCCGC
rnacentral:sRNA from 1 species